rnacentral:rRNA from 1 species
CAGUAGCCACGGGAAAACGGAGGGUGCAAGCGUUAUCCGGAUUUAUUGGGUUUAAAGGGUCCGUAGGCGGACUUAUAAGUCAGUGGUGAAAGCCUGUCGCUUAACGAUAGAACUGCCAUUGAUACUGUAAGUCUUGAGUAUAUUUGAGGUAGCUGGAAUAAGUAGUGUAGCGGUGAAAUGCAUAGAUAUUACUUAGAACACCAAUUGCGAAGGCAGGUUACCAAGAUAUAACUGACGCUGAGGGACGAAAGCGUGGGUAGCGAACAGGAUUAGAUACCCCGGUAGUCCCUGUCUCUUAUAC